UUGAAUAUUGAAUAUUGGAUAGCGAUAGUAUCGACUGAAUCGUACUGUAACGUAGCGGACUUAUCGAUUGGGUAUCGAUUUACCGCCAAGUCUUUGGAAUUUGAUUUGCAUUGAUUUUUUUUAAACAAACAAACCAAAGAAUAAAUGAAAGAGCAAAUUAGAAAUAAUUUUAGUAUCCAACAGAACCAGGUGCUGUUAUUUAUCCUGCUCUGAUCGUUCCGGCAAAAAGUCUGAUGGAUAAGCAGCCUCUUCUCAUAGGCAGGGCUCUAUUCUGCCAGUUUCCGUUUCAUAAAUUAACUGAAAAAAAGGUUUAUUAUCCAUUGUAAUCAGCCAAUAUACAUACAAAUCUGUAAUAAAAGAAUUAUCCAACAUCGGCAAUCUCGA